rnacentral:hammerhead_ribozyme from 1 species
AUUCAGUUGACGAGUCCCGAAUAGAGUGAAACACGUGUCCUGAAU